UACGGAGGAUGCGAGCGUUAUCCGGAUUUAUUGGGUUUAAAGGGUGCGUAGGCGGGCAUUUAAGCCGGCGGUCAAAUGUCGGGGCUCAACCCCGGCCUGCCGUCGGAACUGGGUGCCUUGAGUGGGCGAGAAGUAUGCGGAAUGCGUGGUGUAGCGGUGAAAUGCAUAGAUAUAACUUAGAACACCGAUAGCGAAGGCAGCUUACCAGACUGAGUCUGACGCUGAUGCACGAGAGCAUGGGUAGCGAACAGG
rnacentral:rRNA from 1 species